UCUGGGGGGGGCGUAGGGAAGACGAGCGGAAAGUCGUCGGGCUCAUGCCCCGAAGAAGUGGGUUCAAUUCCCGCCUCUGCGAAC
rnacentral:tRNA from 1 species